rnacentral:rRNA from 1 species
UACGUAGGGACCGAGCGUUGUCCGGAAUCAUUGGGCGUAAAGAGCGUGUAGGCGGCUUGUUAAGUCUUGCGUGAAAUCUCGGGGCUCAACCCCGAGCGGUCGUGAGAAACUGGCAGGCUAGAGUGCGGGAGAGGAGAGUGGAAUUCCUGGUGUAGCGGUGAAAUGCGCAGAUAUCAGGAGGAACACCGGUGGCGAAGGCGGCUCACUGGCCCGGAACUGACGCUGAGGUGCGAAAGCGUGGGGAGCAAACAGG